rnacentral:ribozyme from 1 species
GAACAAUGGCAACACCUUUGAUUGUUCUCGCCAAAGAAAAAAUUUGUUCGAAUUUCAAGUCGGGAUGGGUAAUGUUAUCCAAGGCUGGGAUCAAGGGCUGUUAGGCUUUACUCUGGGUGAACGA